rnacentral:rRNA from 1 species
AUGGGGCGCCCAAGUGGAUCCACCCCUUUGACUGUAUGGAGUACUCUCUGGAAGCUGCAAUGUCCACGUAAAGUGCAGAUUUUUGGUUGGAGAAUUUUGCAAGGAAUUAUUCCGCUUCGAGCUAUCCUUACUAAUAGGCAUGUUGGUUCAAAUGGUGCAUGCCCCAUCUGUCAUCAAGGCGCUGAGGACAUCCGACAUCUGCUAUUCUUGUGCACUAAUGCACAGUCCUUGUGGUCCCAUCUUGGGUUAACUCAUAUCAUUGAUCAAGCGAUACAUGUUGACAGAUCAGGUUCGGCCAUCUUUGAAUAUAUACUCUCACUGCCGGAUCAACAAGUAGCUAUGCAUCCAUCUUUGAACUUCAAACAGGUUAUAGCCGUGGGAGGUUGGUACCUAUGGUGGAUCAGAAGACAAAUAACGCAUAAUGAAUCGGUUCCACCACAGUGGAGAUGGGCGUUGUCAGUGCUAUCCAUUGCGAGCAAUCAUCAGAGGGCGUCAUCGCUCACCCCUAGUUUCCCUGAAGCAAAAUGGAGUAAACCAGACCCUCAAUUUAUUAAAUUGAAUGUUGAUGCAGCUUUUUAUCCAGAUGAAGGUGCGGGGGCUACAGCGGCCAUACUACGGGAUGUUAGAGGAAACUUUGUGGCGGCACAAUGCAAAUUUAUCCCUUUCGCUGCAGAUGUGAUCACUACAGAAGCUUUGGCAAUGAGAGACGGUCUAGUUUUUGUUAAUUCUUUUGGAUUCAAUCGGUUGGAAGCGGAAUCAGACUCCCUACAGGUUAUUAACUUCUGUAAUGGUCAAACUAGAUGUUGGGACUCAGCGGCGGCAAUCUUCGCGGAAUGUGUGGAUACUAGUUCCUUGAUUAGGAAGGUCAUUUUUUAG